rnacentral:rRNA from 1 species
UAGGGAAUCUUCCACAAUGGACGCAAGUCUGAUGGAGCAACGCCGCGUGAGUGAAGAGGGUUUUCGGACCGUAAAGCUCUGUUGUUGGUGAAGAAGGAUAGAGGUAGUAACUGGCCUUUAUUUGACGGUAAUCAACCAGAAAGUCACGGCUAACUACGUGCCAGCAGCCGCGGUAAUACGUAGGUGGCAAGCGUUGUCCGGAUUUAUUGGGCGUAAAGCGAGCGCAGGCGGAAGAAUAAGUCUGAUGUGAAAGCCCUCGGCUUAACCGAGGAAUUGCAUCGGAAACUGUUUUUCUUGAGUGCAGAAGAGGAGAGUAGAACUCCAUGUGUAGCGGUGGAAUGCGUAGAUAUAUGGAAGAAUACCAGUGGCGAAGGCGGCUCUCUGGUCUGCAACUGACGCUGAGGCUCGAAAGCAUGGGUAGCGAACAGGAUUAGAUACCCUUGGUAGUCCAUGCCG